UACGUAGGGGGCAAGCGUUGUCCGGAAUCAUUGGGCGUAAAGCGCGUGUAGGCGGCUCGAUAAGUCUGCUGUGAAAGUUCAGGGCUCAACCCUGAAAUGCCGGUGGAAACUGUCGAGCUAGAGUCCGGAAGAGGCGAGUGGAAUUCCUGGUGUAGCGGUGAAAUGCGCAGAUAUCAGGAAGAACACCCGUGGCUAAGGCGGCUCUCUAGUACGGUACUGACGCUGAGACGCGAAAGCGUGGGGAGCGAACAGG
rnacentral:rRNA from 1 species